CCUACGGGGGGCAGCAGUGGGGAAUAUUGCACAAUGGAGGGAACUCUGAUGCAGCGACGCCGCGUGAGUGAAGAAGGUCUUCGGAUCGUAAAACUCUGUCCUUGGUGAAGAAAAGGACGGUAGCCAAGGAGGAAGCCCCGGCUAACUACGUGCCAGCAGCCGCGGUAAUACGUAGGGGGCGAGCGUUGUCCGGAUUUACUGGGCGUAAAGGGUGAGUAGGCGGUUAUAUAUGUCAGGUGUAAAAAGCUAUGGCUUAACCAUAGUAAGCACUUGAAACUGUAUGACUUGAGUGCAGGAGAGGUAAGCGGAAUUCCUAGUGUAGCGGUGAAAUGCGUAGAUAUUAGGAGGAACACCAGUGGCGAAGGCGGCUUACUGGACUGUAACUGACGCUGAGUCACGAAAGCGUGGGUAGCAAACAGGAUUAGAUACCCUGGUAGUCCACGCUGUAAACGAUGAGUGCUAGGUGUUGGGUAGCGAUACUCAGUGCCGGAGUCAACACAAUAAGCACUCCGCCUGGGGAGUACGUACGCAAGUAUGAAACUCAAAGGAAUUGACGGGGACCCGCACAAGCAGCGGAGCAUGUGGUUUAAUUCGAAGCAACGCGAAGAACCUUACCAAGGCUUGACAUCCCCUUGACAGGUACAGAGAUGUACAAUCAUUUUCGAAUGCAAGGGAGACAGGUGGUGCAUGGUUGUCGUCAGCUCGUGUCGUGAGAUGUUGGGUUAAGUCCCGCAACGAGCGCAACCCUUAUCCUUAGUUGCCAGCAAGUAAAGUUGGGCACUCUAAGGAGACUGCCGGUGAUAAACCGGAGGAAGGUGGGGAUGACGUCAAAAUCAUCAUGCCCCCUUAUGUCUUGGGCUACACACGUGCUACAAUGGUCGGUACAACGGGCAGCGAAGAAGUGAUUU
rnacentral:rRNA from 1 species